UAGAAGACAGCAGCGCGGCUAAUGUAGAUGAACUGAACACACUGAUGAGGGAGAGGGAGAAGUGGAGAGUCCGUCAUUGUGCCUGAUGCCGGCCCCCUAGGCCUGAGUCAACGUAGUAGUAGUAGUAGGUUAAAGGGUUGGCACAACAUAAUGGGCUGAAGGGCCUGUACUGUACUGUAUUGUUCUAUGUAAUCAAAGAAAUGGUUUUGAAGUGAAUCAUUGUAUCAAAGGAUCAUCCAUGGGUGCAGGGAAACAUGUCCCAAAAACGAGAAUUGAUUAGUACAACACACACAAAAUGCUGGAGGAACUCAGCAGGCCAGGCAGCAUCUAUGGAAAAGAGUACAGCUGGCAUUUCAGGCCGAGAUCCUCAGUGAUGGUAGAAGGAUAGAGCUUGCCUAGGUGAACAGUGAUUGAAUCUAGCAAAUCCACAUAACAGUGGAGUUACCGCAAAUGCUUAUGUUGAGCCAUUAAACUGAUGUGAUACUCUCCCACUGCUCUUUUGCCUGCGCACAGUAACACACAGCACUAGUCUACCUUGCAUUGCAGUUGGGACCUCCCAUUUCAGGCAAGGAAUGAAGUAAUGACCUCGCACAAGUAAAUGAAUUAAAUGGUUUGAGUACGUUUUUGAGUUCCCACCAGUGUUCACCAAGGGCUGUUUACUUUGGCCACUGUCCAGGAAACAUGAUUAAAUAAUUCAAAGCCAAUGAACGAGACUUUGCUGAUGUUGCUCAGGACUCAGGUAGACACAUGCAAGCUGACCAGGCCGGCUUUCCCUGAUUGCAAAAGACACAAGUCCUUCAGUAACGGGUUGCUCGCAUUGUGUACAGCAGAGAUAUCGCAAGGCAGCUUCCACAGGAGGAGGACGGAGAAAGGGGGUUGGCUGGUUUGAGAAGAAGGCCAAAAACCUCUAUGUGGCAGAAGACAAUCAAUGGACCAUUCUCUUCAGAAAACCUAAGUAUCUACCACCCUGCAGAGGGAGGCAGAGGUGCACUGAUGGGACUGCUUUGAGUCAGUGGACUGGAUAACAUUCAGGGAUUCAUCUUAGAGUCUGAAUGAAUAACUUCAUCAAGAACUGUGUGUUUGAGCGUGUGCCUUCGAGAACAUGCCAGGCAUAGCAAAACCAAAAGCCGUGGAUGAACCAGGAGAUCCAUAGUCUGCUGAGGGUUCGAUCUGUGGCAUUCAAGACCGGCGAUCAAGAACUGUAUAAGAAGACAAGAUUUGUAGCAUGUUCAAUGCAUAAUAAUAGGCUGGAACUUGUGGAGGAAAGCAGUCAAUUCUUUAGUGAACUCCCAGCUACCUUCACCUGUCCACAGAGUUGGGAAGAGGAGAGUGUGCCGAGUCAUUUGAAAGGAGAGGAAUGGCUCUGAAGGAGAAGGAUUUGAUAAAACCUGGUGUUGUGGGGUUGCUGGCUUUUGAGUUUUUCUCCGCUGUUGUAAGACGGGAGCUUAUUCUUGCCUGACAUUGUGAAGCACAAGGCUUGCAGACCAUAGUGCCAAUAGUAAAAAGGAGAAAAACGGAGGUCGCUAACAACCUGAAAUCAAUGCAGGAAAUACUGGACGCACCUUGCAGCAUCAAACUGCAGAGGCUGGAAAUCUGAAAUGAAAACGGAAAAUACCGCGAAUAUUCAUGUGAAUGAUUGAGUUUUGUGAUUCAAAAGCCUGAAAACAUGUGCCACAAGCUCAAGGAAAGCUUCGACCCCUCUGUUAGACGACUAUUAAAUGGUUCCUUUGUAUAAUAAAGUGGGUUUUGACCUCACAAUCUGCCUCAUUAUGAUGUUGCACCAUAUUGUCUAUCCGUGCUGUACUUUCUCUGUAGCUGUUGAACUUUGUUCUGCAUACUGUUAUUACAUUGUCUUACGUCAGUGUACUACAUAAUGAAUUUAUCUGCAUGAUCAAGCAGUAUGCAAGAUAAGUUCUUGACAAUAAUAUGACAAAAAUAAAUCAAUUCCAAUUGUUCAAUUUCUUUCUUUCUCACAUUCUACAUUUCAUUCUAUCUCUUGCUCUUCGUCUAUUACUGUUUUUCUUUCUUUCUUUCUUUCUUUCUUACUACAUCCUCUUUCUAUUUCUUUUUCUUUCUUUGUCACUUUCUCAUAUUCUCUCUCACUCUCAUUCUGUCUUGUUCUUUUUAUUUCUCUCCUUUCUCUGCCUUCCUUUCUUUCUCUCUCUCUCUCCCCCCUUCUUUCUCUUAGAAUAGUGUACAAAGGAAUUUCACAG